rnacentral:rRNA from 1 species
CCUAACACAUGCAAGUCGAGCGGAUGAGUGGAGCUUGCUCCAUGAUUCAGCGGCGGACGGGUGAGUAAUGCCUAGGAAUCUGCCUGGUAGUGGGGGACAACGUUUCGAAAGGAACGCUAAUACCGCAUACGUCCUACGGGAGAAAGCAGGGGACCUUCGGGCCUUGCGCUAUCAGAUGAGCCUAGGUCGGAUUAGCUAGUUGGUGAGGUAAUGGCUCACCAAGGCGACGAUCCGUAACUGGUCUGAGAGGAUGAUCAGUCACACUGGAACUGAGACACGGUCCAGACUCCUACGGGAGGCAGCAGUGGGGAAUAUUGGACAAUGGGCGAAAGCCUGAUCCAGCCAUGCCGCGUGUGUGAAGAAGGUCUUCGGAUUGUAAAGCACUUUAAGUUGGGAGGAAGGGCAUUAAUCUAAUAUGUUAGUGUUUUGACGUUACCGACAGAAUAGCGCAUCGGCUAACUUUCGCGCCAGCAUCUCUGGUGAAUACGAAGGG